rnacentral:rRNA from 1 species
UACGUAGGGUGCAAGCGUUAAUCGGAAUUACUGGGCGUAAAGCGUGCGCAGGCGGUUUUGUAAGACAGUUGUGAAAUCCCCGGGCUCAACCUGGGAACUGCAUCUGUGACUGCAUAGCUAGAGUACGGUAGAGGGGGAUGGAAUUCCGCGUGUAGCAGUGAAAUGCGUAGAUAUGCGGAGGAACACCGAUGGCGAAGGCAAUCCCCUGGGCCUGUACUGACGCUCAUGCACGAAAGCGUGGGGAGCAAACAGG